GCGGGCUUCCCAUUAGCGGAGUCAAAUCAGUCCAGUGUCCCCAGGAUCCCCAUGACCUGCAGUGCCUGGCACCGGGCGCUCAGUAAACAUUGAUGAAUGAGUGAACGAACAAGAAAACAAGCUUCGGGUAAACCAGCCCCUCUCUGGGCUACUUCCUUUUUAAAAAAUUUGUUAUUUAAAAAAAAGAAUUUUUUUUUUUUUUGGCUGCACUGCAGAGCAGUGCAGGACCUUAGUUCCCCGACCAGCGAUUAAACCUGGGCCUUUGGCUGAGAGCGUGGUGUCUUAACCACUGGGAAUUCCUCCCCAUCCUGCCCCCCACCUUUUAUUUUUAAAGUGUUAAGACACAGGGAUGGAGGUUGCUGAAGACACGCUCCUUCUCUAGCUCCUGAAGCGCCCCCUCCAGACUUGAUGGGAAGCCAGAUCAUCUGACCCUAGAACACAUGCAGUGAGCCCUUUGUCAUACAGCCGUUGCAGGCACGGACUGUUUCUACUCCAUGGAUUCUCCGUCCAUGGACUCUCUGAUGCCAGUCCCCAUCCAGGUGUCUCAGGCUCAGCCCUUCCAUGUCAAACACCAUCAUGGCCGUGUCGACCCUCCUGCCCAGCUGCACGGGACAGAGCGGGUACUCGGAUCAGAUGACGGCUCCAGCCAGGAGGACCCUCCCUCCACCGUCCUGCCCCCUCCCCCCAGCUGCCCACAGCAUUUUCCAAACAGACAGAGCCCAUCCAGGGUCUAAGGAGGUGCCACCUCUGAGCCUUAGCGUGGUGGCCCCCACACACUGUUCAACAUUGUAGCCUGGAAUGAGUUAACUGUGAUUAAAGACGUCAUUUGUUCACUGGUCAUCUUCACACACAGUAGUACACUUGUCAGCCAGUGAUGCAGCCCCACAGGUGAGUCCAAGCCAGAACUGCUGGGGGGGGGCUGUGUGGCUUUGAAAAUGUUAGUCGCUCAGUCGUGUCCGACUCUUUGAGUCCAAGGACUGCAGCCCAACAGUCUUCUCUGUCCAUGGGAUUCUCCAGUCAGGAAUAUUGGAGGGGGUUGCCAUUCCCUCCUCCAGGGGGUCUUCCCAACCCAGGGAUCGAACCUGGGUCUCCCUGCAUUGCAGGCAGAUUCUUAACCAUCUGAGUCACCAGGCCUUGGGUGGAUUUUUAAUCCCUCUGAGCCUUA